UUGCAUCGAUGAAGAACGCAGCGAAAUGCGAUACGUAAUGUGAAUUGCAAAUUCAGUGAAUCAUCGAGUCUUUGAACGCACAUUGCGCCCCCUGGUAUUCCGGGGGGCAUGCCUGUCCGAGCGUCAUUGCUGCCCUCAAGCCCGGCUUGUGUGUUGGGCCCCGUCCUCCGAUUCCGGGGGACGGGCCCGAAAGGCAGCGGCGGCACCGCGUCCGGUCCUCGAGCGUAUGGGGCUUUGUCACCCGCUCUGUAGGCCCGGCCGGCGCUUGCCGAUCAACCCAAAUUUUUAUCCAGGUUGACCUCGGAUCAGGUAGGGAUACCCGCUGAACUUAAGCAUAUCAAUAGGCGGAGGAA
rnacentral:rRNA from 1 species